CAUCGUCGAUUUCCUGAUGGGACUUAUAUCAUUUAGAGGGUUGUCGCGAGUGAUUCAUUGACUGUACAAGUCUGCUGUCUGGCGACUGAUUAGUUAGGGAAUUGUUUAUGUUGUCAUCGGAAGAUUUUUCCAAAUACAAAUAUGUGUUUGGUAAUUGGUUCGACGAAAAAAUCUUUUGAUGAUUUGAGUUUGUUUACUUUGUUACUGAUUUGUCAUAGAAAAUUUGUGAGCAUAUUGAAGUAACAGGCAGCAGACCCACAGAGUAAUUAGUCGAGGCGCUCGGCGUUGGAUUACACAUCGCGGCAACAGAAGAAAAACGGUGAGCCCACAGUAUACGUUGAAAACUUCAAUACUUUCUUUGAGCAGGCAGUGUUCGAAUGGUUUAGCCGCAUAUCGGGAGUAAAAAAAAUAGGUAUAUCGAGCAUGACUAACAAGAACAUGCCCCAACAGUUGUCGGUAUCUAUAGUCUGCUACCGGAGAAGAACUAAUUCCCUGGAAAUGUAAUCGAUAGCUUGAGAAGGCAGUAGCUAGGCAACUACGCUUCCAAUUAAGUUAUUUGCUCCGUUCUGGACUGUCUAUAAAUCAAAGAUAACUGCGAAGGUGAGAAGCGUCUUACCAUCUUCAUAUUUUUACUUUUACAUCGCAGGAGCCGUGGUGUUGUAUCGUCAGCAUAAU